ACGUGUACGAGGUGUUGGAGGCAGCUCUGAUUUUUCACAAAUGGCAAGCAAUUCCUCCUUCGUAUGCUAGUCGGCUUCAAUUUUGUUAUGUGCGAAGGGGCCCUGAGAUUAAACCAGAUGUUUAAACAAGUCAAAUAUUCAUCCAUCAAAACUUGUUUCGAUGAAGUAAAAUAAGCAUGUGUAAAACAUGUUUACUUUUUAUAAUGCCCUUUGUCCCAUUAUAACAUUAGGUUAAGUUAAAAAUACCUCUAUUGUAUUUGUU